UUCAUCGCGGUUCGACGUGUGUCAAUCUGUGGAAAUAUAAAGAGAAGUUUUUACAAGAACAAAAAAAUUUUAUUAGCUCGUGCUCCAUCUAACAGAGAGAUAAGGACACGAGAACUAUGAAAGUCUUAAAAGUAUAACUUACACGUGAAACACUCCAUAAGGCUGUCCAGUGAGCAUGUAACAAGAUGGAAACCUGAAAUCUGAGCCUAACUACCAUACUGCAUCUUGACUCUAACCAAUAUAUAAUGGAAUACUUCAGUAUUAAUCUGGUAAUGAUGGGUAUACUGCACUAAAACAAGAAGCAAAAACACUUGAUACAAUGUUGUCUAUGAGUAAUGAACUGCAAAUCAACCUGUUGAUGACCCUGUGACCUUCAUAACAAAAUGGACUCACACUGUUGCUGUAUGGAUGUUGACCUGAAUAUCAACCUGGGGAUGACCCUGUGACCUUCAUAACAAUAUAGACUCAACUUGUUGCCACAAAAAUGUUGUUCAUAUCCCAAGCAGCAGUUUAUUACUAAUCAUCAGCUUGAUGACAAGUAUUGAUAUGUGUCAUCAUUAGAUUGUGAUGAUACUACAUUGCAUCAAGCUAUUGCCAGCAGAUGUAUGACAGACAACUUGCCAGCCUCUCAACCAAGGAUCAUGUUGUCAUGGUGAUGAUGCUGUCAAGUUCUGGCCAUCAGAUAGAUGACAGACAACUUCACCAAAUCUGUCAUAUUCAGUUAUACCAAGCUGCAAAGCCUUGUAAGAUGAUGCAGCACCAUCAAGGGCAAGUCAAUCAGUACUGAUGACAGGAAUCAUCCACCAAGGAUAUCAAUACGAGUAACAUGGUUUAGAGGAAUAUAAAGAAAAAUAGGAAUAUAAAGAAAAAU